rnacentral:rRNA from 1 species
CCUACGGGAGGCAGCAGUGGGGAAUAUUGCGCAAUGGGCGAAAGCCUGACGCAGCGACGCCGCGUGAGGGAUGAAGGUCUUCGGAUCGUAAACCUCUGUCAGCAGGGAAGAACGGUCACUGUGCUAAUCAGCAGUGAAUUGACGGUACCUGCAAAGGAAGCACCGGCUAACUCCGUGCCAGCAGCCGCGGUAAUACGGAGGGUGCGAGCGUUAAUCGGAAUUACUGGGCGUAAAGCGCUCGUAGGCGGUAUGUCAAGUCAGGGGUGAAAUCCCCGCGCUGAACGUGGGAACUGCCUUUGAAACUGGCAAACUGGAGUGUGUGAGAGGGUAGUGGAAUUCCAGGUGUAGGAGUGAAAUGCGUAGAGAUCUGGAGGAACAUCGGUGGCGAAGGCGACUAUCUGGCACAUAACUGACGCUGAGAAGCGAAAGCGUGGGUAGCAAACAGGAUUAGAUACCCGGGUAGUC